rnacentral:lncRNA from 1 species
CUUUUCUAACUGAAAAGUUUGUGAAAAGUGUGUUAUUCAGGUAUGCAAAUUUUUACAGUACACAUUUUAACGUAUUUAUAUAACCAUGUGGUGAAUUAUAAGCAUACUGUAAUGACAAGAGGUAAAAACUUAACCGACUUUCAGCAAGGUCGAAUAAAAACUUUAAGAGGUGAAAACAAGGGUUAUCGUGAAAUUGGGAGAAUAUUAAAUGUGUCUCACAAAUCGCUGAGUAAUUACCUGCAAAAUAAAGAUAAAUUAUGGAGGAAGAAGAAAGAAAGGAAGAAAGCCAACAGUCAGUUCUAAAACAAAAUGCAGAAUUAUCCGGGAAGCAAGCAAUACA